rnacentral:rRNA from 1 species
GACGAACGCUGGCGGCGUGCUUAACACAUGCAAGUCGAGCGGUAAGGCCCUUUCGGGGGUACACGAGCGGCGAACGGGUGAGUAACACGUGGGUGACCUGCCCUCAGCUCUGGGAUAAGCCUGGGAAACCGGGUCUAAUACUGGAUAUGACUCCAUGACGCAUGUUGUGGGGUGGAAAGCCUUGUGCGGCUGAGGAUGGGCCCGCGGCCUAUCAGCUUGUUGGUGGGGUGAGGCCUACCAAGGCGACGACGGGUAGCCGGCCUGAGAGGGCGACCGGCCACACUGGGACUGAGACACGGCCCAGACUCCUACGGGAGGCAGCAGUGGGGAAUCUUGCGCAAUGGGCGAAAGCCUGACG